AAAAAAUACGUCCCAGUUCAGAUUGCAGCCUGCAACUCGACUGCAUGAAGUCGGAAUCGCUAGUAAUCGCGGAUCAGCAUGCCGCGGUGAAUACGUUCCCGGGCCCUGUACACACCGCCCGUCACACCAUGAGAGUCGGGAACACCCGAAGUCCGUAGCCUAACCGCAAGGGGGGCGCGGCCGAAGGUGGGUUCGAUAAUUGGGGUGAAGUCGUAACAAGGUAAC
rnacentral:rRNA from 1 species